UUCUACAGUGGUAUCAGACCCUCUUUGUAUAAUAUUGAAAUAAUUUAGAUAAACAAUCUGUGUAUUAAGAUAUACAUGUGUGUUUAGGACUGUUAAUUAGUUUGUUUGAUUUUGUCAAAUCUGAUUAGUAUAAUUGAAAGAAUGUGUUCGUUGUCAGUAAACGUGUAUAAUAGUAUGUACGGUUUCGUUGAUAGCAACUUGUUAAUUGCAUUUGUUUAACAAAUAUCUUAUUGACCUAUGAUGUCGCGUAAUGCAAAUAUGUGACAUGAAGUUUUAUGUGCAUCUAGUAAUGAUUGAACUUGAUAUGUGCAUGUUAAUAAAAAAACCUAAUUUGAUUACGGUUCUAAAACGUUAAUUUUUAUAUAAGAUAAAAUAAGAGCAUGAGUUAUAUGUUAGGAUUAUUGACUUUUGGAAAGUCGAGAAUAUAAUAAUAUAUGUUAAUAGAGAUAUUAUACGGCUGAUAUGAUCAUCCGCUAGAUAUGCGAUUAAUAUAUAUAUA
rnacentral:lncRNA from 1 species